CGCGUGGAGGGAACUCAAGGCCUGAUUGGUUCUUCCUAAGCAGGACGCGAUCUGGCUGGCAGGGCAACCGGCCUUCCGUUGGUGGCCUUCAGUUAGUGCCUUCAGUGGGUGCCUUAAGUUGGUGGCAUUUGGUUGCCUUUCCUGGGGAGAGGCGGCAGGUGCUCAGCUCUGCAGACUUGGGGGCAAGCGAAGGCCCAAGCUGCCUCGAGAAGAGCAGAGGUGCCCCGUGGGGGCCACGAUGACGGGUCGCAUGUGCACCAAAGUCAGCCCCCGGCAGGGCCGGCGCAGGGAUUCUGCGGGGCCGUCCUGUGGCUCUGACAUCUAUGAGUGGGUGGCCAGUAGAGGCACAGGCACCAGCAAAGAGGGGCAGAGACGCCCAGAACACGCUGUCCCCCAAUGCCAGCCCCAAGCGGGGCCAGCUCAGGGUGCAGUGGGCAGAGCCAUCCUGCAGCUCUGAGAUCCACGAGGUGGAGGUGGGAGUAGCGCCAGGCUCCACUGUGUUGGAGUUUGCCCAGUUUGAGCCCAGUUUGAUUCCGGAGCCAUGACCUCAGCACAUUGGCGACCAGAAGACGCCCAAAGCUCUUUGUCCUGGGAAGAGUUUGCUGCAUCUUCCAGUUUCAGUAAUCAAAGAAGCAAAGUUCCCUGCAGUUCUUCAAGGAAACUUGAGAAUUCAGAAGGUCUUGGGGUGGCUGCAUCCGUCCUGAAGACAAAUGCCAAUCAGCAGAGGGGCCAUUCCCAGGGACACAGGGCUGGCUGACUUGGGCCUUGGCCAGGCUUUGGAUUCACCUUGAAAACAUCCUCUCUGAACAUCAGAAAUCCACUUGGUCCCUGAAUGGUGUAUUAACUUCUAACAUUUCUGACUUCCAGUCAUGGAGAUUUCAAAACCAAUUGCAUAUAGCAGCGAAGCUUUUCACUUUUAAUGGAACAUUUAGGAGAAGGGCAGCUUUUCCUAUUUUCUGUGUUAUCUUCAGCCUGUUAACUGUUAUCAGCCCUGGAGAGAAACCAUCCCUUCUCCUUAAAAACAUGAACCACAUACCAAGUUGCUUCUUGCCUCUUAAAGAUUCGGGUCACUCAGGUACGUCAUACUGAGACAGGACGCUCAGGUACAUCAUACUGAGACAGGACGCUCAGGUACAUCAUACUGAGACAGGACGCUCAGGUACAUCAUACUGAGACAGGACAUGUUGAUUGUUGGUGUGUAUUUCUCCCAAGCCACCACUCAAACCAGUGUUUGAUUUCCAUGGAGGUUGGCUGAUGGCUUUUAGCUUGAGCCCCAACAGUGUGACUUCAUACAAAGCAAUUUCUUCAGAAAUAUCAUGGAACUUUAGGGACAUUAUAUUAUUAAAUUAAAAAAACCUAAUAUGUUAAUUUUUUCAUUAAAGUUUAUGAGUUUACUGAGUCUUUCGUUUCCAAAAUAGUUAAUGAGCUUUUGAGUCAUGUUUUUUAUGAAAGGAUUGACUUUCCCAUGGCGUCCAACUCUGUAGAUAAUCAUCCGAAACAGAUUUGACUGUAUUUGUUUACCAAAAGGCUGCCUAAACCAAGCUCUGCCCUGAAUUUUUUGUUUUCCACACUUAUGUGCUAAAUCUGUGUAAUUUGUUAGUUUGUCUCUCCAGAACCACUGUUGGUCUUGCGUAACUAAUCAGCAGAGGCAGCAGUCUGAUGGGUCCACAGCGACAAGGGAGGCAGUGGGAGGAAUGCAGUGGCCAGGCAGGCGAGGGACCUCAGGACCAGCAGCUCAGCUGCAGCCUUCCCUUUUCUCAAGGUCGUACUGAGCAAGUCAAAUGGUGAAGAAAGUCUCCAUCUCCAAACUGAACACAGGAUUUGUUGAGGUGGCCUCCUGGAGCCGAAGUGUGUUUGGGGUGAUAUCUACAAACUUCCGUCCCUGCUUCACUGGUGGCCUUUGGAGAAUCACCAUUUUUUUUUUGGUCUCGUUCUGUGGAAUAUAUUCUGAAAAAAUAGGACAAAUGCUAAAAUAGUGAUGUCAAAUUUAAGUUUUUCAUAGAAAUAGCAUAGUAGGGAACUAUACUCAUUUUUAUAAGGAACACAUUUAAUCGUUACUCUUUCCCUUCCUUUGUUCUUUCCUUAAGAAAUACUGAGUGUUGAUUAUGUACAAAGAAUAGAAUAUGAUGGGAAACAAUACAAGUACCUUAUUACGUGUCAUAUAGUAUAAAUCUUUAAAUUGUGAAUAUAAAUUAAACAGAGCCCCUCGGGUUCAUGGCUCAUGCCUGUAAUCCCAGCACUUUGGGAGGCCAAGGCAGGUGGAUCACUUGAGCCCAGGAAUUCAAGACUAGCCUGGGCAACAUGGCAAAACCCUGUCUCUACAAAAUGUACAAAAAUUAGCCAGGCAUGGUGGCUCACGGCUGCAGUCCCAGCUACUUGGGAGGCUGAGGAAGGAGGAUCACUUGAACCCUGGAGAUUGAGGCUGCAGUGAGCCAUGACUGUGCCACUGCACUCCAGCCUGGGCAACAGAGUGAGACCCUGUCUCAAAAAAAAUAAUAAGUAAAUAAAUAAAACAGAGCAACUCAGCAAUAAUUAUAUAUUUAAUUAUUCUAAGUAUUAUGUUUAAUAAUAUAAUUAUAUUUAAACAUUGUAUUAUGUAACACAUCAAAGUGUAUCAUAUGAAGUUUUUUGUCUCCAUCAUUCUCUCUUAUUUUGAUAGUAAUGAUGAAACACUGGCCCAACUUAAUCCUCAGAAUGUGUUUAUUGAAUUAAAUGGUAGCCGUAGAAUUCAGAAGAACUUAUUUGAAGAGCUUUAAAAGGGAAA